CUACCAUGCAAGUCGAGCGAUGAAACCCCUUCGGGGGUGGAUUAGCGGCGGACGGGUGAGUAACACGUGGGUAACCUGCCUCAAAGUGGGGGAUAGCCUUCCGAAAGGAAGAUUAAUACCGCAUAAAGCCAAGUUUCACAUGGAAUUUGGAUGAAAGGAGUAAUUCGCUUUGAGAUGGACCCGCGGCGCAUUAGUUAGUUGGUGGGGUAAUGGCCUACCAAGACAGCGAUGCGUAGCCGACCUGAGAGGGUGAUCGGCCACAUUGGAACUGAGAUACGGUCCAGACUCCUACGGGAGGCAGCAGUGGGGAAUAUUGCACAAUGGGCGAAAGCCUGAUGCAGCAACGCCGCGUGAGUGAUGAAGGUCUUCGGAUUGUAAAGUUCUGUCUUUUGGGACGAUAAUGACGGUACCAAAGGAGGAAGCCACGGCUAACUACGUGCCAGCAGCCGCGGUAAUACGUAGGUGGCGAGCGUUGUCCGGAUUUACUGGGCGUAAAGGGUGCGUAGGCGGAUGUUUAAGUGAGAUGUGAAAUACCCGGGCUUAACUUGGGUGCUGCAUUUCAAACUGGAUAUCUAGAGUGCAGGAGAGGAGAAUGGAAUUCCUAGUGUAGCGGUGAAAUGCGUAGAGAUUAGGAAGAACACCAGUGGCGAAGGCGAUUCUCUGGACUGUAACUGACGCUGAGGCACGAAAGCGUGGGUAGCAGACAGGAUUAGAUACCCUGGUAGUCCACGCCGUAA
rnacentral:rRNA from 1 species